rnacentral:rRNA from 1 species
GACGAACGCUGGCGGCGUGCCUAAUACAUGCAAGUUGAGCGAUGAAGAUUGGUGCUUGCCCCAAUUUGAAGAGCAGCGCACGGGUGAGUAACGCGUGGGGAAUCUGCCUUUGAGCGGGGGACAACAUUUGGAAACGAAUGCUAAUACCGCAUAACAACUUUAAACAUAAGUUUUAAGUUUGAAAGAUGCAAUUGCAUCACUCAAAGAUGAUCCCGCGUUGUAUUAGCUAGUUGGUGAGGUAAAGGCUCACCAAGGCGAUGAUACAUAGCCGACCUGAGAGGGUGAUCGGCCACAUUGGGACUGAGACACGGCCCAAACUCCUACGGGAGGCAGCAGUAGGGAAUCUUCGGCAAUGGACGAAAGUCUGACCGAGCAACGCCGCGUGAGUGAAGAAGGUGUUCGGAUCGUAAAACUCUGUUGGUAGAGAAGAACGUUGGUGAGAGUGGAAAGCUCAUCAAGUGACGGUAACUAACCAGAAAGGGACGGCUAACUACGU